AAUAACCGGAGGAAAAGAAAACCAACAGGGGAUUGCCCUAGUAACGGCGAGUGAAGCGGCAAACAGCUCAAAUUUGAAAAUCUGGCUUCGGCCCGAGUUUGUAAUUUGUAGAGGAUGCUUUUGGUGAGGUGCCUUCUGAGUUCCCUGGAACGGGACGCCAGAGAGGGUGAGAGCCCCGUAUAGUCGGCCACCGAUCCUUUGUAAAGCUCCUUCGACGAGUCGAGUAGUUUGGGAAUGCUGCUCAAAAUGGGAGGUAUAUCUCUUCUAAAGCUAAAUAUAGGCCAGAGACCGAUAGCGCACAAGUAGAGUGAUCGAAAGAUGAAAAGCACUUUGAAAAGAGGGUUAAAUAGCACGUGAAAUUGUUGAAAGGGAAGCGCUUGUGACCAGACUUGUGCCGGGCUGAUCAUCCAGUGUUCUCACUGGUGCACUCGACCCGGCUCAGGCCAGCGUCGGUUUUCGCGGGGGGAUAAAAGCUUCGGGAACGUGGCACCUUCGGGUGUGUUAUAGCCCGUUGCUUAAUACCUCCGUGGGGACCGAGGUUCGCGCUCUGCAAGGACGUUGGGAGCUAG
rnacentral:rRNA from 1 species